rnacentral:rRNA from 1 species
ACUCAAAGGAAUUGACGGGGACCCGCACAAGCAGCGGAGCGUGUGGUUUAAUUCGAUGCAACGCGAAGAACCUUACCAGGGUUUGACAUGCAACUGCACCACCUGUUAUGGGGUGUCCCGCAAGGGCGGUUGCACAGGUGCUGCAUGGCUGUCGUCAGCUCGUGUCGUGAGAUGUUGGGUUCAGUCCCGCAACGAGCGCAACCCUUGCCGUUAGUUGAAAGAUCUAGCGGGACCGCCGCGAUCAACGCGGAGGAAGGCGGGGAUGACGUCAAGUCAGCACGGCCCUUACACCCUGGGCUACACACACGCUACAAUGGUCGGUACAACGGGCCGCCAACCCGCGAGGGGGAGCCAAUCCCAUCAAAACCGGCCUCAGUUCAGAUUGCAGGCUGCAACCCGCCUGCAUGAAGUUGGAGUUGCUAGUAACCGUAGGUCAGCACACUACGGUGAAUACGUUCCCGGGUCUUGUACACACCGCCCGU